UCCCUGGUGGCUCAGAUGGUAAAGCGUCUGCCUGCAAUGCAGAAGACCCAGGUUCGAUUCCUGGGUUGGGAA
rnacentral:tRNA from 1 species